GCCACUGUGGUCUAGCGGUUAGAACGCUGGCCUUGUAAUCCUGGGGUCUCGGGUUCGAUUUCCGGCGGUACCC
rnacentral:tRNA from 1 species